rnacentral:misc_RNA from 1 species
CAAGCCAAUGGAAAACCCAUUUGGGGUGUCAAGGGAGCACACUGAUCCACUCGAAGAAGCUAGUGACAUGGGUAAUUUUAAAAGCCCAAAAAUUGAUGGUUACUCUUCCUCUGAUGCAAAUAAUAAAGCUUUUGAUGAUAUGGACCCAUUUGCUAGCCUUAGUAAAUCUGUCCCUGCAUUUUCAUCAGAAGGGAAUAAUAGAGGUAAGGCUAGGAGUCCUCCUAGG